ensembl:lncRNA
AUGUGCCCAGCCCUUUUCCUCCCAAGUGAGAAGGAUAAAGAGAAGAGGCCUUUCCAGCAGGCGCGAUGGCGGAAGCCCCGUGACGGUGGCCAUGGCGGUGGCGGAAGUCUCCUCGGGUCCGGCGGCUUUGUCUCUGGGCUGGGCCUUCUCGAGUUACUGGCCCUUUCAGCCCCAGUUGUGGGGUCUCAGCCUGGGCUGGCGACUGACGGGCUUCUCCGGCAGGAAAGGCUGAGGCUGCAAAGUCUCGCAGGAGGCACUGCCCAAACUCCUGGCCAGACUGACACGGCCCACACCCGGCUGGGCCGAGGCUGCCCAGGAAGCACUCCUGCCAGAGGGGGCGGACCCUGGCCCAGCCCUUCCAGUCCUGGGCAUUGGGAUAGACCCUUGUGUCAUCUUGCUGAGGCAUGGGGGCCUGUCACUGUUGCAGACCAUGGACUUCUUUUACCCCUUGGUGGAGGAUCCCUACAUGAUGGGGUGCAUAGCUUGUGCCAGCGUGCUGAGUGACCUCUAGGCCAUGGGCAUUACUAAGUGUGAUAACAUGUUGACGUUACUCAGCCUUAGCCAGAGUAUGAGUGAGGAGGAACACGAAAAGAUAAUGCCACUCAUGAUCAAAGGCUUUCGGGACGCUACCGAGGAGGGAGGAACUGCAGUGACAGGUGGACAAAUGGUGGUCAGCUCUUGGCUUAUCAUCGGUGGAGUUGCCACUGUGGUAUAUUGGCCAAGUGCAUUCAUAAAGCCUAAUAAUGCUGCUGUUGGGGAUAUGCUGGUGUUAACCAAACCCUUAGGAACCCAAGUUGCUGUCAAUGCCCACCAAUAGCUGGAUAAUACUGAAAGAUGGAAUCAGGUGUGAUCCUCAAGAAGUAGAGCUGGCUUAUCAGGAAGCCACGCUCAGUAUGGCUACCAUUAACGGAACUGCUGCUGGAUUAAUGCACAAAUUUAAUGCCCAUGUGGCCACAGAUAUCACAGGCUUUGGCAUUCUAAGACACUCUCAGAACCUCGUGAAGCAACAAAGAAAUGGUGUGUCCUUUGUUAUUUGUAAUCUGCCAGUCAUUGCCACGAUGGCUGCCAUCAGCAAGGCCAGUGGGCAGUUUGGGCUUCUUCAAGGAACCUCAGCUGAAACCUCAGGAAGAUUACUGAUUUGUCUUCCAAGAGAACAGGUGGCUCACUUUUGUUCUGAAAAAAGAUCUUCCAAGUACAGAGAGGGUCACCAAGCAUGGAUUGUUAGCAUUGUGGAAAAGGGAAACCAGACAGCCCGGAUCGUUGAAAAGCCUUGAGUUAUUGAGGUCCUACCUUGCGGGGCCACUGCUGCUGUUCUUGCUCCUGCACAUUCCAAUGCAUCCUCAGAGCCUAGCUCAUGAAAUGAAAUGGCACAAGUUGUUUAGAGCUUAGGGCUUUUGUAAACAAUCACGGACAAUUCUCAGGCGCUGAUUUAAGAAAUUCCCAAAGAAGGCUACCUACAUAGUGGUUGCAGCUGCCCUUUCUAGGUGAUCUGAAUUAGCCCAUCAAAAGUUGCCUGUGUGUGCAUUCCAAGGCCAGAAGUAUUAUUUUGAACUUUGUGGGGAUAUCUGUUCAUCUCCUGGGUAGAAGAGGAGCAGAAAAACUUGUUUCCUCUUUCCAAAGUAAGAUGAGGCUACUCCAGUUUGAGGGAUAUUUUUUGCAUUAGGUUGAUUAAUUUCUGCACAGGGAGUGAGAUUAUUUAUUAAAAUUGCAUACACACAAAAGUAAAUUGCACAAUGAAAAAAACUUAGAUCUGAAGCAAAUGAGUUUGGACCAAUACCAUUGAUAAAUCUAAGUUGUUAUGGGAGAUCUUAUAAUGCAAUGUCAAAUGCUUUAUUAGAUUUUUCUGAAGUACUGGCUCUUUCCUGCUCUGGACAAGAAUUGAGCAGCUUGUUUAAAGACUGGGAAAGGAGGACCUGCAAUCAUCUGACUUGGUCUCUGUAAAUGAUGUCUCUCCCUCUAAACCCCAUUAAGGACUGGAAGAGGCAGAAAGAGCCCUAGAGCCCAGGUCUUGGUGGUCAUUAAGAUGUUAAAUCUUGUGCUGAACAUUUCUGGUGAUUUAAUCAAUAAAGAGUAGUUUCUAGCUAAAAAACCAAAAUGUCUUCCAUUUUAGAACACAAAAUCCUCCUUUGACUAUCCUCCUUUUCCUCCCAACAGUUGCUUCUCUUUCUUUUUCUAGAUCUGUAUGUCUCGGUUUUUGGUGUACAUCAGAAUCAGCUACAGAACUUGUUACAGCACACAUUCCUGAGCCUCAUCCUCAGAGUUUCCGAGUUUCUGAUUUGGUAGGUUGGGGUCGGGUCCAAGAAUGUGUAUUUCUAACAAGUUCCUAGGGGAUGCUGAGGGUUGGGGACCCACUUUGAGAACCACUACUCUAAAAAGCACCCUCUGUGUUCAUUGACUUUGCUUGCUCUUUUUCCAUUCACUACCCAGCCUGCUGUCACCUGUCUGCUGCCCCACACCACUGACCUCCAAAGGUCAAAUCAAAUGCAGUGGAGCUUUGCAUCCCGUCUUACUCAAGUCCUCUCUGACGUUGGUUCCCUGGCCACAUCGCUCUCUUUCUUCCUUUGGCUUCCCUGACAUCACUCCUUCCCAACUGUCUCCUUCCUUUCUGGCUGCUCUUUUUGAGUUGCCUUUUCAGGAACCUCUUCUCUUUUUCAGUUUUCUUCCAGGUUUCAGUUUUCUUCCAGGUGCUGCUCUUGUCCUCUGCACUUUUCACUCUGUAUUCUUCCUGGAUGCCUCACCCACGGUACAGCUUUGACUGGCAUGCCAGUAACCCUCAGAUCCACUUCUCUACCGCAAGGCUCUCUUCUAGCUCUUCAUCUGCAUAUCCAGACUCACAAAGUUAGACAUGUCCCCAGGUGGGCUUGUUAUAUUUGCCCUCAAAUGGCCCACUUGUUUGACUUAUCUUCAGGAUGGGCAACUAUUUUACCCCGACCCAGACAUCUGUGUGUCAUUCUUACUUUUUUCUCCCUCACUUUUAUUCCUGACAUUCAUCAUCAAGAUCUCUCUCAUAUUGCCCUCUUUUCAUUUUUCAUUGCUAAUGCCUCAGUUUCCUACUGUUUGCAGUUCCUGAGUAUUAGCUUUGCAGUGUUUCUAGGCACUUUUUAAAUACUGGGAAUAUAUAGGAGUCCCUCAAAUCAGGUAACAUUUUGCUAUUCCAUAAAUUCUGGUUUUGCCAUUGGAUGCUAUAUCAUUUUACACAAUAAGACAUUUUAUUUUAUUAUUUUUUUUGAGACAAAGUCUCACUGUGUUACGCACGCUAGAGUGUAGUAGUGCCAUCACAGCUCACUGCAGCCUGAAUCUCUGGGGCUCAAGUGGUCCUUCUGCCUCAGCCUCCAGAGUAGCUGGGACUACAGGCACACACCACCAUACCCAGCUAAUUUUUUUGAAAAAUUGUUUUGCAGAGAUGGGGUUAGAAUACUGUUGCCCAGGCAGGUUAGAAUCCUGGGCUGAGGCAGUCCUUCCAACUCAGCCUCCCAAAGCACUGUGAUUACAAGUGUGAGCCACCACACCUGGCCAAGAAGAAUUUUACUACUAAUAAAAGUAAUGCGGGAGGCGUGCAUUCUUAGCUCCAUUUCAGAUGAGGAAACCGAGGCUCUGAGAAGGUAAUAGAGUUAGAAAAAAGAGGAGCCAAGGAUACAAACAAGGUCUGCCAAAAGCAAGUUGUGGAAAAUGAAAACUGUCUAGCUCCUUCCAUGUAGAAUUGGAAGAGUAUAGUUCCAUUAUUUUGUUGAAGUGCAGUAAGUUUUAAUAAACACAGACAUUUCUGUAGUAAAGCAUAUUCGUACAGUAAAGUGAAAAAUGUACAAAAGCAAAAUAUGAUCUGGUGACCCAUUUCUAUAUGCAAUUUUUUUUCUCUCUCUCUGUCUCUCUGUAUGUGUGUAUAUGCAUGGGUGUGUAUAUGUAGUUUCAUG